GACGAACGCUGGCGGCAUGCCUAAUACAUGCAAGUCGGGCGAACAGAUGAAGUGCUUGCACUUCUGACGUUAGCGGCGAACGGGUGAGUAACACGUAAGGAAUCUACCUAUAAGCGGGGGAUAACAUUCGGAAACGGGUGCUAAUACCGCAUAAUAUCUUCUUCCGCAUGGAAGAAGAUUGAAAGACGGCUCUGCUGUCACUUAUAGAUGACCUUGCGGUGCAUUAGUUAGUUGGUGGGGUAACGGCCUACCAAGACGAUGAUGCAUAGCCGACCUGAACGGGUGAUCGGCCACAUUGGGACUGAGACACGGCCCAAACUCCUACGGGAGGCAGCAGUAGGGAAUCUUCCGCAAUGGGCGAAAGCCUGACGGAGCAAUGCCGCGUGAGUGAAGAAGGCCUUCAGGUCGUAAAACUCUGUUAUAAGAGAAGAACAAAUUGUAGAGUAACUGCUACAGUCUUGACGGUAUCUUAUCAGAAAGCCACGGCUAACUACGUGCCAGCCGCCGCCGUAA
rnacentral:rRNA from 1 species